rnacentral:rRNA from 1 species
AGGACGAACGCUGGCGGCGUGCUUAACACAUGCAAGUGGAGCGACGAACCAGGGCUUGCCCUGGGGCAGAGCCGCGAACGGGUGAGUAACACGUGGGUUACCUGCCUUGAUGACCGGGACAACCCGAGGAAACUCGGGCUAAUACCGGAUGUGCCCGCAAGGGGAAAGGAAGCUUCGGCCUCCGCAUCAAGAUGGGCCCGCGGCCCAUUAGCUUGUUGGUGAGGUAACGGCUCACCAAGGCUUCGAUGGGUAGCUGGUCUGAGAGGACGAUCAGCCACACUGGGACUGAGACACGGCCCAGACUCCUACGGGAGGCAGCAGUGGGGAAUCUUGCGCAAUGCGCGAAAGCGUGACGCAGCAACGCCGCGUGGGGGAAGAAGGCUCUCGGGUUGUAAACCCCUUUCAGUUGGGACGAAGCUUCGUCGGUUAAUAGCCGGCUGGAGUGACGGUACCUUCACAAGAAGCACCGGCUAACUACGUGCCAGCAGCCGC